rnacentral:tRNA from 8 species
GCCACCUUAGCUCAGCUGGUAGAGCAACACUUUCGUAAAGUGGAGGUCCCCGGUUCGAUUCCGGGAGGUGGCUCCA